GCCCAGUUAGCUCAGUCGGUAGAGCGUGGGACUUUUAAUCCUAAGGCCGAGGGUUCGAGCCCCUUACUGGGCG
rnacentral:tRNA from 1 species